rnacentral:rRNA from 1 species
GGUUAAGCGACUAAGCGUACACGGUGGAUGCCCUGGCAGUCAGAGGCGAUGAAGGACGUGCUAAUCUGCGAUAAGCGUCGGUAAGGUGAUAUGAACCGUUAUAACCGGCGAUUUCCGAAUGGGGAAACCCAGUGUGUUUCGACACACUAUCAUUAACUGAAUCCAUAGGUUAAUGAGGCGAACCGGGGGAACUGAAACAUCUAAGUACCCCGAGGAAAAGAAAUCAACCGAGAUUCCCCCAGUAGCGGCGAGCGAACGGGGAGCAGCCCAGAGCCUGAAUCAGUGUGUGUGUUAGUGGAAGCGUCUGGAAAGGCGCGCGAUACAGGGUGACAGCCCCGUACACAAAAAUACACAUACUGUGAGCUCGAUGAGUAGGGCGGGACACGUGGUAUCCUGUCUGAAUAUGGGGGGACCAUCCUCCAAGGCUAAAUACUCCUGACUGACCGAUAGUGAACCAGUACCGUGAGGGAAAGGCGAAAAGAACCCCGGCGAGGGGAGUGAAAAAGAACCUGAAACCGUGUACGUACAAGCAGUGGGAGCACGCUUAGGCGUGUGACUGCGUACCUUUUGUAUAAUGGGUCAGCGACUUAUAUUCUGUAGCAAGGUUAACCGAAUAGGGGAGCCGAAGGGAAACCGAGUCUUAACUGGGCGUUAAGUUGCAGGGUAUAGACCCGAAACCCGGUGAUCUAGCCAUGGGCAGGUUGAAGGUUGGGUAACACUAACUGGAGGACCGAACCGACUAAUGUUGAAAAAUUAGCGGAUGACUUGUGGCUGGGGGUGAAAGGCCAAUCAAACCGGGAGAUAGCUGGUUCUCCCCGAAAGCUAUUUAGGUAGCGCCUCGUGAAUUCAUCUCCGGGGGUAGAGCACUGUUUCGGCAAGGGGGUCAUCCCGACUUACCAACCCGAUGCAAACUGCGAAUACCGGAGAAUGUUAUCACGGGAGACACACGGCGGGUGCUAACGUCCGUCGUGAAGAGGGAAACAACCCAGACCGCCAGCUAAGGUCCCAAAGUCAUGGUUAAGUGGGAAACGAUGUGGGAAGGCCCAGACAGCCAGGAUGUUGGCUUAGAAGCAGCCAUCAUUUAAAGAAAGCGUAAUAGCUCACUGGUCGAGUCGGCCUGCGCGGAAGAUGUAACGGGGCUAAACCAUG